AUCUUAAUUCAUGGUUAAAAAAAAGUUACAAAAUGAGACUGGAUUUAAUUAUAUACCUUAUAAAAAUAUACCUUCAAUUUAUUUAGCAAUUCAAUGAAUUAUACUAGUAACACAAAUAAAACACUUUUAAAUGUUAUCUAUAUCGAGUUCAUUUAGCAGGAAGAUUGACUACAUAUUAAAAUGAUCACAUUCAAAAGAAAGUUUAUUCAUUCUCAGUAAAUGACAUUUUUCAUUCAAGUAAAGAUUCAGCUAGUUCCUAGACCAAGUACUAAAAAUGAAUAAUAAGACUCAAAUGUUUUGAAUUUAGUUUAUUUUGAAAAGAUAAUAUAGGGUCAGACAUUUACUCAAUGCAAGAACAUUUCUGGAUGCAUCCUCAAGGCGCAUUUUCCUCUAGUCUGCAGCCUUGGUUCCUAAGGGAAGCUUCAACUUCUGCUGGACUUCAGCGAUGCUUACUUUUUCUGUAGCCUGCAGACUUGGUCCCUGUGAGGGGAGAGCCAAAGUCUGGUAUUCCCAAGUUGAUGCUUGAUGUUCAAACCCCACUAUCUGGCCCUCAGUUGGCAGGUGUGCAGUGGAAAUGGUGCUUGAAUCUCCAGGAGACAAAGGGACACUUGUGUAGUUCAACUCAGAAAGUACGGUCGUCUCUCCAAAUGUAUUGGAGGAUAAAUAUUCAUCAUUACGAGGGUGCUCUCCUGAAAGUCUUUGGAAAGGACUGAACUUUCCCUGUUUUUGUGCUCUAUGUGGGUGAAAGAGACGCCAGCUGCCGGACUGUUUUCUUGGGCUGUACUCAGACUCAAGAUUGAAGUGUCUGUCACUUGAUGUCCUCUCAGCCAUUUGUUGCCUUGUGUCAGAGCCAGGCUUGAUGUGGCGAACGUAGGCAUAUCCUUUCCCUCUGGACAGCUCUACACUGACAUAUCCUCUAGGACUCUGGGAUGCAUUAGACUUGCGCUUGCCAUCUUUUACUACCAAACUUCCACCAGAAACAGGUCCCUUCUUCACAGCUUCAGUCGGCUUUUUCUGUUGUACCUGUGGACGUACAAUCUUCCUUGGGGGGCUUAAACUUCCAGAAACAGGUCCCUUCUUUACAGCUUCAGUCGGCUUUUUCUGUUGUACCUGUGGACGUACAAUCUUCCUUGGGGGGCUUAAACUUCCAGAAACAGUCGGCCUUUUCUGUUGUACCUGUGGACGUACAAUCUUCCUUGGGGGGCUUAAACUUCCAGAAACAGGUCCCUUCUUUACAGCUUCAGUCGGCUUUUUCUGUUGUACCUGUGGACGUACAAUCUUCCUUGGGGGGCUUAAACUUCCAGAAACAGGUCCCUUCUUUACAGCUUCAGUCGGCUUUUUCUGUUGUACCUGUGGACGUACAAUCUUCCUUGGGGGGCUUAAACUUCCAGAAACAGGUCCCUUCUUUACAGCUUCAGUCGGCCUUUUCUGUUGUACUUGUGGACGUACAAUCUUCCUUGGGGGGCUUAAACUUCCAGAAACAGGUCCCUUCUUUACAGCUUCAGUCGGCCUUUUCUGUUGUACUUGUGGACGUACAAUCUUCCUUGGGGGGCUUAAACUUCCAGAAACAGGUCCCUUCUUUACAGCUUCAGUCGGCUUUUUCUGUUGUACCUGUGGACGUACAAUCUUCCUUGGGGGGCUUAAACUUCCAGAAACAGGUCCCUUCUUUACAGCUUCAUUUGGCUUUUUCUGUUGUACCUGUGGACGUACAAUCUUCCUUGGGGGGCUUAAACUUCCAGAAACAGGUCCCUUCUUUACAGCUUCAGUCGGCCUUUUCUGUUGUACUUGUGGACGUACAAUCUUCCUUGGGGGGCUUAAACUUCCAGAAACAGGUCCCUUCUUCACAGCUUCAUUUGGCUUUUUCUGUUGUACUUGUGGACGUACAAUCUUUCUUGGGGGGCUUCGUGCACGAAUGUGA
ensembl:lncRNA